rnacentral:lncRNA from 1 species
UGAGAGCCAAAUGAGUUAUUUUGAAACAAAAGAAAAGGAAUUGUGUAUUUUUGUAGAGUUGAGAGAGUUGGUUACCAGAAUCAGGCAGGAAAGAAAGUAAUAGGGUGAGGCAAUAGCAUCGACGGCACGGCAGUAGGAAGGUAGAUACACUCUACUCCAUUUUAAUUAUAGGAAGAAAUUUGUGUACUUAUCUUCUAUUGCUGGAUAAACGAUGCCUAUACUCAACCAUAGCAUAGGUGCAUUUAUCAAAACUUUAUGUUAAAUAAUCGGUUCAUAAAUUAAUGGUAAUUAACUAUUUUUUAACAUGCAUAAUUUGACCCAAUAAUUCAUUUUGGAAAUAGUACACCGUAACAUGUUUUUGUUACGUAAUUACAAUUCGAUUAGCUACUUGUAUAAUUCCUCUUAAUCGCCGUUUUCUUUUCUUGACAGGAUGUGUUUGUGCGUGAAAACGAGGCGCCGUGGACACUAAACAAUUAAUAUUUCCCUUCUACAAUUUAUUUGGAUAUUUACUUGAAAGUUUCUCGUGCAAAUUUCUAAGUAGUGGGUAGAAUUUCUAAGUUAG